UACAGAGGUCUCAAGCGUUGUUCGGAUUCAUUGGGCGUAAAGGGUGCGUAGGCGGCGCGGUAAGUCGGGUGUGAAAUCUCGGAGCUUAACUUCGAAACUGCAUUCGAUACUGCCGUGCUUGAGGACUGGAGAGGAGACUGGAAUUUACGGUGUAGCGGUGAAAUGCGUAGAUAUCGUAAGGAAGACCAGUGGCGAAGGCGGGUCGCUGGGACGUCACUGACGCUGAGACGCGAAAGCGUGGGGAGCAAACAGG
rnacentral:rRNA from 1 species